CACGCCGGAUGAACCUGGCGGUGCUGGCCGUGAUAUCGUUGCUGAUCGGGCAGUUUUGCUGGCUGUGUUGCUGCAUCCUUCUUAGGGUGUCUCUGCAAACCACGAGGGUUCGAACCUGGUUACCUCACGAGCCGAAUCAACAUGGGACGUGCGUUAUAUAUAUACCAACAGCCACACAGUCAACUGCGGUGCUACGGUGGAAAUCGUAUGGACCCUGGACAUUGAAGAGGAGAUCACGUGAAAAAUGUUGCAGACCUUGGCGACGGAUACUGAAAAGCUAAGCGAAGUGACUGGAUCAUCAUGGGCUGGCAUGUAAUAUGGAACCACAGAACUGCAGUGGCGAAGUGUCGCAUACGAAGUGUACAGACCAGAGUCUACCAGGAGAGGAAAAUGAAUUGGGCAAUGAGUGCUCUGCAGCUGCUCCACCAGGAGUACGAAUCCUAAUCGAAUCAACGAUUAUCGCGCUCAACGAGGGCAACCCACAACGAGUGCCAAAACACGACGGACGCCUUUGACGGCGUUCGAGGAGAACCUGCAGUACGCAUUGGGUAACUCGGCGCGUACGAGCAAUAGACAAGGUGACCGGAGAGUGACGGGAGUUCGGAGAAGGGGAAUGGAAAGUUUAGCACACAUUGUAAAAGUAAACUAUGAAAAUGUA